rnacentral:ncRNA from 1 species
UAAAAGUUUAAAUUUAGCUUAUUUUUUUGGUGGGGGAUUUAUUUACAUGUGAAUUAAAAUAUGGGGGUAUUUUAAAUAAAAGCAUGGACAGUAAAUAAAAUUAAGUAUUAACGUAAGUUUGACUUAGAAAUUCAAAAAAUAUAAGCGAAGGUUGUGCCAGCAACUGCGGUUAGACAGACUAUAUGACUGAAAAUUAUUAGAAUUAAUUAAUUAUAUUAAAAUUUAAUUAAAAGUAAAUAUUUGGGGGGUGAAAUAAAAAUAUUACUUUAAUUAUAAAAUUUUUAAUGAGGUUAAGAAAAUUUGUUUUUAAACUAGGAUUAGAUACCCUAUUAUUAAAAAUGUAAAUUGUAAUUUCUAAAUUAGUAUAAGUUAAGGUCUUGAAAAUUAAAGGUUUUGGCGGUGUUUUAAUCUUUUCAGAGGAAUCUGUUUAGUAAUUGAUAGUCCACGAUAAAUUGUACUUUUUUAAUAGUUUACAUAUCGUUGUAUAGAAUAUUUUUAUGGAAAAUUAAUAUUAGUAAUUUGAGUAAGAAAAUAAAUCAAAUCAAGAUGUAGCUUAAUUAAGAAGUUGAAAUGGAUUACAAUAACUGAAGUUAAUAUGGAAUUUAAAUUGAAAAUUUUUAAGAAAGUGGAUUUGAAGGUAAUUUGAAAUGUUUAUUUUAAAUGAUUUAGUUUUAAAAUAUGUACAUAUUGCCCGUCGCUUUCGUUAUAAAAUGAAAUAAGUCGUAACAAAGUAGGUGUACUGGAAGGUGAGCCUGGUGAGAUACUUC